rnacentral:rRNA from 1 species
CCUACGGGAGACUGCAGUGAGGAAUAUUGGUCAAUGGCCGAGAGGCUGAACCAGCCAAGUCGCGUGAGGGAAGAAUGUCCUAUGGAUUGUAAACCUCUUUUGUCAGGGAGCAAAGUCACCCACGUGUGGGUGUUGGAGAGUACCUGAAGAAAAAGCAUCGGCUAACUCCGUGCCAGCAGCCGCGGUAAUACGGAGGAUGCGAGCGUUAUCCGGAUUUAUUGGGUUAAAGGGGUGCGUAGGCGGGUUAUCAAGUCAGCGGUAAAAUCGUGGAGCUCAACUCCAGCCAGCCGUUGAAACUGAUGGUCUUGAGUGGGCGAGAGGUAUGCGGAAUGCGUGGUGUAGCAGUGAAAUGCAUAGAUAUCACGCAGAACUCCGAUGGCGAAGGCAGCAUACCGGCGACCGACUGACGCUGAAGCACGAAGGCGUGGGUAGCGAACGGGAUUAGAUACCCGGGUAGUC